rnacentral:rRNA from 1 species
CCUGAGAAACGGCUACCACAUCCAAGGAAGGCAGCAGGCGCGCAAAUUACCCACUCCCAGAACGGGGAGGUAGUGACGAAAAAUAACAAUACGGGACUCUUUUGAGACCCCGUAAUUGGAAUGAGUACACUCUAAAUCCUUUAACGAGGAUCUAUUCGAGGGCAAGUCUGGUGCCAGCSGCCGCGGUAAUUCCAGCUCGAAUAGCGUAUAUUAAAGUUGUUGCGGUUAAAAAGCUCGUAGUUGGAUCUCAGUUCCAGACGGGUGGUCCGCCAAACGGUGGUYACUGCCCGUUCUGAACAGCCCGCCGGUUUCUCUUGAUGAUCUUCACCGGUUGUCUCGGGUGACCGGCAAGUUUACUUUGAAAAAAUUAGAGUGCUCAAAGCAGGCGYGASGCCUGRAUAAUGGUGCAUGGAAUAAUGGAAUAGGACCUCGGUUCUAUUUUGUUGGUUUUCGGAACCCGAGGUAAUGAUUAAGAGGGACAGACGGGGGCAUUCGUAUUGCGACGCUAGAG